UGCCGUUCCUCCUUUACGGUCGAGAUUUUUGUUCAGCUAACCUGCACCAGAAAGAAAUGAGGAACAUGAUGGUUAAAAAAUCGAUGGAAAUAGAAAACGGGAACGGGUUCAUCGGAGAAGGUUUUGGGUUUCAAUUACAGUAGUUCGGUUGAGCUUCACUCAUAUUUUUCGGCUCAUCCGUCAGCUUUUUGACUUCGAUAUGGGCACAGGGAGGUUUGAGAUUCAAUUAUGAGCAUAAGGGAGAAAAAUCUUACCUUUUCGACGUCGAUGAUGGCUCCAGUGCGGCCACGACGGUGGCCGGUCUCUUU
rnacentral:lncRNA from 1 species